rnacentral:rRNA from 3 species
AUCCUCCAAGGCUAAAUACUCCUGACUGACCGAUAGUGAACCAGUACCGUGAGGGAAAGGCGAAAAGAACCCCGGCGAGGGGAGUGAAAAAGAACCUGAAACCGUGUACGUACAAGCAGUGGGAGCCCCACCACUAAGCCAGUGGUGAACUCCACAUACGCAUCCUUUGCUGAGGAUACGGUUAACGGAGCGAAAGCGACGUUCAACCUCAAAAGAAGCAGAGGGGGCUUAGUGGUGGGGUGACUGCGUACCUUUUGUAUAAUGGGUCAGCGACUUAUAUUCUGUAGCAAGGUUAACCGAAUAGGGGAGCCGGAGGGAAACCGAGUCUUAAUUGGGCGUUAAGUUGCAGGGUAUAGACCCGA